AAGAGACAGGGGCUGACACAAGUCUAGAAGUUAAGGCAUUGCUGCUUGCCUUGGGCUGCAGCAGGUCACAGUCAAAUGCGUGAGCAUGUCAUUUACUCAGUUUCCCCACGUGUAAUGUGAUGAGUGUGCUGAUUCUUUGCUUCUUCCUCCUGUGUGGACUACACUGCAAUGUUGUAAUUUGUGUUUCUUUUCAAGAAGAGGCAUGAUCUGCCAAGUGCCUGUGCUCUGUGUUUCCCCCACGCCACCACGUCUGAUCCUUAUCGUCAUGCCAGAAGGCAACUACAGACAAUGGGCAUAGUUGGGAUGGGAAGUGGCCCGGGGAGACAGAGGCCUGCCCAAGGUCACCAUGUGGUACUCAGUGUGAUGGGAUCUGAGCUGAGGUUUGACUCCAGAGCUUGUUCUCUGCCCAUUGCCCAUGCUGGGUGGAAGGGCACUGGACCAGCACCCACUCCAGCAGUCCCUGCAGUCUCCCUAAGGCCUCCUUCAUCUCUGUAUAUCAGAUUGAGUCGUUAGCGAGAGUGUCACAGAAUUUUUGCCAUCUCAAAUAUAAAGGAUGUCACUCCAGACAAGGUCAUUAACAAUAUGUUCUCGCUUGGCAAAAGUCCUAAAAGGAGGAUGAUAUUAACCAUGGCGAAAUCCAUCUCCACGACUGCCCCAGAGACCAGCAAAAAUCAAUGGCCUAGUAAAGUUGGAGCUUUAACGAAAGGUCAAAGACUCUACUGGAAACCACAGGUGGAUACUGUAAAGUGGUUGCUGGAGACGGAAUGCUGCACUCCCGCGGGGGGACUUUGGAAUGAGCUCCUAUCUACUAAUUUGCCCAGGUUGGACAAAACAAUAUUGUCUGUGAUUUGGCUUCUCCUGAGUAUGUAUUUGACAGCUCUGCAGGGUACUCUCCUUCUAUUUCGACUUCAAAACAGAUGCACUGUGUUUUUUGCAAUGAUCAGCCCAACUCCUGGCCACAGUGGAGACUGAGUGGAGAAGUAAUACACACAGCAACUAUUAAGAGUCACAAUUAUUUUUCUCUCUGAGAUUUGAAAGCCUGUUAAUGGGCAAGAUGAUCACCCACAGAAAGAACCCAGCAAAAAGUUAUAACUACCAGAUCUCUCAUUUUUGUGCCCAAUUUUCAUUAUGGAGGUGGCAAUAUAAUGAAGUAAUCUGCUAAAUAAAUAGUGUGUUUGUAAAUUACACUGGAUAAGGCCACGUGGUUUAUUAGUACUGCAAAAUGCAAAUCUAGAAGAAAGGCUAGCAUUGAACUGCAUCUUUAACUCUUGGGAAUAGCAUGGGGCCACAUAAAGGAUGGGUCGGAUUGGGACCUUGGAAAACGAUCCUUUCACCCUUUUAAAAUUAUGUAGAGACAAACCAAGACAUCAGGAUAGUUUGACAAACUGGCUUGGCUGCCGUCAUUCAAAAUCCUUUGUAUGUUUUUAAUAUGCAAAAGUAAACAUGCAUAGAGAAGUAAAAAAAAAAAAUAAUAAUAACGCACACCUUGUACCCAAACCUCAUUGUCCGUUGUUAAACUUUGGGCACACUUGCUCCAAAUCUUUUCUUUUUAAUUAAAAAAUCCCUAUCUAUAUAUAGUAUUGCUCGUGUGUUUUCCCCACAUUGUGCAUUUUAUUCUGCAACUUGCUUCUGCCAAUCAACCCUGAAUUUCUGAGGCCUCUCCAUGUUGAUAUGUAAAGACACCUACAUCAUUCUUUUAAACCUGGAUGCUUUAUUCUAAGACAUAUAUUGCAUUUAAUUGAUUCUUCUUCAUUUUGAGGGACAAUUAUAUAUUCCCGGUGUUUUGUAAUUGCUAAUAAUGCUACGAAACACCUCGUGCAAGGCUGUGAAUGUGUGCUGCUUGUACAGAAAUUUGGCAGGGAUGUACCUUUCCUGGGGGUGCACGGGAUCCUGUCACCAGCAUAUAUGACUUAUUUCACGGGGCCCAGGUCUUCCCAGCUGUUUCUAACAGGCAUCUCUGACCAAAAUAAAGAUGGAUCCACCGAGUACGGCAGGAUGAGUUCAGCAGUAAAUUUCAAGCCAUCAGCUUAUAUAGAUGGAGUGCAUCAAUAUAUUUUGGCUUGCUGUAGAAAUGCACUGACACAACAAGUUUCUUGUCACACACAAUUUGUUAGGCAGCUGCAUCCCUUUUGCAAACAGCAGCUUUCCUCUGUGUUCGAAGCGGCAGCUUCUGGGUGGCAGGUUUGCAAUUGCUCUUCUCUCUGGCAUUUGCUUUCAAUUUUAAGCAACUGCUCCAGACAACAGAGACAGGGAAUGUGCACGGAGGUCCAGGAAGCCAGGGGCAUGGUGCGGUGGAAAGGGAACAGUGUGUGAACGAAGCAGUGGAAGGGGCAGACAGAGCACAGGGGCUCUGGGUCCCCACUCCACCCAUCCAAAAGGAAGCUGGAUGGGAAGCUGUAUUCUGCUGUUAGUUACGUGAGUUUCUCUCUGAGCCUCAGUUUCCUCGUUUUUUCCACUGCAAACACUAGCAGCACCCUUGAAUAGCUGUGAGAAUGCGCCAGUGUGGGAGAGGAGGCACCGUGUGACCCAAGAUAAUCACUAGGUCUAUGGCAGUGUGCCUUGAUGACAAGGUAAAUGAAAAUGAAAACAGUUUUUUUUUUUUUUUUUGAAAGCUAAAGUGAGGGAGGUUUCAGCAGUUAGUGCUCCCAGAGCUACUGAACGUUCUCCUCUGUUGCUGUCUGAAGUGUAAAUCCUCACUGUAUUCAGAUAGCUGCAUAGGCAUCACCGUUGAAGUCAGAACGUUAAACCUGGAUUCAGGAAAGGACCGGAGGGGUACUAACCUGAGUGACUCUCUUCUCUCUCAAGAUUAGUUUGCCUUCCACAUAGAGUGAGGAAGAAUGCACAUCUCAUGCCACAGCUGUGAGAAUGGAGUGAGUUCUCCCAACCAACACUCUCCUACCCUCUGGAACCUCCACUCCCAAGUCCCAGUGAACCUACCAGUUGUGUUGCUGUUUCACUCCAAAGCUCUCAUGGUUCCCCACUGCCUAGAGGAUGAGGUUUCCAACCCAUGGCUGGCAUGGUGUCCUCCAGCCCUGCCCAUGACCUGUCCCCGUCUACUGCUGCUCUGUAUUUCUCAUAGCUCCUACUGGCCUGGGCUCAAGGCUACUGAAAUACACCCAGCACCUCAGGAACAACCAACAGGCUCUCUCACACUUCUUUGCAUGCCUCUGCCCACCACACCCUUCACCCCUUUCUAGACCUCAUGCCCAGUGGAGCUGGGCCCUCCCUUCUCGUGUCCCGUCUGCCCUGUGCCGUGCUGUCCAGUGUCACAUGUAGAGCGUGCUCACACACUGGCCUUCUCCAGGAGACAGGAGCUGUGUCUUUCUCCUCCCUGUAUCGCAGAGCCCACCUGGCAGGGGCACAGUGUUGCAGAUUAGCCUGCUGUCCCUCACCAUCAAAAUGACUUCAAGGAAAAUAUCAUAAUCUAUGCAGCUGCUCAUCUCAAAAACUCUAGAAAUGCCUGUGAUUGCCUGUGAUCAGAAGUGGACCUGUUUUCACAAUCAGUCCUGGUUCAGAAUUGAAGAUAGCGCCACCUGCCUGCGAGGAGGACCACAGGGACCACGGGACUUGGAAGUGGAGAUAACAUCUUACAGUGGAGGCAACCUACACUCAGAGUCACCUGACGGAAGACAGCCCUGCUGGCCUGCAAAGGAUAUUGGUCUUCAGCUCUACUGCCCAGCUCAGACGACUCCUGCCUCCUAUUCAUUGCUGUGAAAUUUUCUG